rnacentral:lncRNA from 1 species
UGUUCCCUUUUUUUUUUUUUUUUUUUUUUUUUUUGUAGGUGGGUGGUUUUCUUAGCAGAGUCUAUAUGUGUGUACCCUGACUGCCUUUGAACUCCUGGUGAUCCUCCUGUUUUGUCUCCCCAGUAGUGGAGAUACCGGCCCAUUCCACUAUGCUUGACUUGUUAGGCUCCUUUCCCGACAUUUUUCUUUUGAGACAGGGUCUCAGUGUAGUACAGUCUGGCUUAGCAUGUGGCCGAGGGUGACCUUGAACUCAGUCCUGCUGCUGCUACCUUCCGAGUUCAGUACUAGAGCCAUGUCUCUACUGUGGCGGGUUGGAGACGCCCUGCCAAAUGGAUGGUGUGUUGCAGGUGGCUUGGGUGCCCUGGCACUUUAGAUUACCAUUGGCAGCGCACUGCCACCAUGUCAGGUCUGCUAGGACUGUUGAGGACUUCUGUCCAAUCCUGAUGUUUCUGUCCAAACCUUCUCCCAGUAAGUAAGUCUUGGCAGCUCAUGCCUUGUUCUUCAGAAUUCUAACUCACUGUUAAAAAAAGUCCCAAUUUCUGUUUGCAUUUUCAACCCGACCACUUAACUCUGCCUGAAACCUGUCUGUGCUAAGGUGUGUGAAUAUUGCCAGUUUUAUAUUUAUUACAGUGAUGAAGAAACGAGAAGUAGGAAAGGGAGCAUGGCCAGCUCCUGACUCUGAGCAGUUUGUAUGGGAACAGUGAGUGGGGGCUUGCCUGUGGUCUUCCCCUCCAGGACCACUGUAGCAGGCUGACUGCACCUCCCCAGGGGAGCUUGUUACCAUGCUUUGGCAAAGGCUUCUUGACUAGAAUCCAUUCUGUUCAGUGCUCAUUUAAUAUAAAAGUCAACAUUUCACUGCAAACCUACUGAUGUCUUUCUGUUUCCUUUAUUGUAGUUUAGAUUCCAACGGAAAAAGCAGGGGUGGGUUUUCCUACCUUAUAAACAUAAUGGAUUCUUUGCUCAUCUUAUGUCCUCUGGAACUGAGGGUACCAAAUUGACCCCAUCACUUCUCACAGGGUAGGACACUAGGACAGGUGAGUAGUUAUAAGUAAUCCUGAGUAGAUAUAUGAGAGAAUGUUGUAGAUUGGUCACAGUCUCCUUAUAUGGCCCUGCCUGGCCUGGAACUCAGAGACCUCUCUGCUCCACCUCUCAAAUGUGGAGACUAAAGGUGUGCCCUACCAUAUCUAGCCUUACAGGUAACUAAUAAACCAUAAGCCAACCUUUUGACCCCAUCUUUUAAGUUCAGUCUUUCACAGUCACUCAUAGAAUGGCCUAUGUAGCGUUAUUUCUCCGUUCUUCACACUAACAGUCACCAUGAUUUUACUGCUUGGGACAGUACCUCUUGUUACCUGCAGCUCACACUCAGAUGACUUCUGGGUUCCUGUGCCCUCUGGGGAGAAAGGUUUCAGGAUACCUUCCCAGGUGGUUUGUGUGAGCAUAGCCCCAUACAGCUGUUGGUUAGAAGUUUAGAAAUCCAGGGCAGCCAGGAGUGUACAGAGAAGCCUUGUCUUGGAAAACAAAAGAAAAGAGGCUUAGAAAUUGAAUAUUAUAUCCCCUCCCAGGUCAUCCUGACUUAAAUAGUUGAGCCCAGCUUUGAGCCAGCUCUCCCUGAACUCCUGCCCAUGUGCUACUCAUUGCUCUAGAUUCUGAGGAUCUAGUUGCCUCAGGUGAGGCUGCUAGGAUCACAGAUGUGUCUUCUCUCCUGGGUGAGGGGGCAGCUGCUUUGGUCUUUCCAUUGCUAGUGUCCCCCUUUCCGUCCUAGCUUUUGUGUGGCUAUAAAAAUAUUUACUUAAAGUACAUUGUCUGGCUGUCUGACUUCCCACCUUCAACCAACACUAAAAUUAAAACAUUAUGGAACAAAAAUUUGUGCUAAUAAACCUAUGGGGUUUGGGGGACUACUGAGCUCUGUGUUAGCAUGUCAAUAAAGUCAGGGAAAGAUGCAACAU